rnacentral:misc_RNA from 1 species
GAAAUGCGAUAAGUAGUGUGAAUUGCAGAAUUCAGUGAAUCAUCGAAUCUUUGAACGCACAUUGCGCCCUUUGGUAUUCCAAAGGGCAUGCCUGUUCGAGCGUCAUUUGUACCCUCAAGCUUUGCUUGGUGUUGGGCGUCUUGUCUCUAGCUUUGCUGGAGACUCGCCUUAAAGUAAUUGGCAGCCGGCCUACUGGUUUCGGAGCGCAGCACAAGUCGCACUCUCUAUCAGCAAAGGUCUAGCCUCCAUUAAGCCUUUUUUCAACUUUUGACCUCGGAUCAGGUAGGGAUACCCGCUGAACUUAAGC